rnacentral:tRNA from 1 species
GUCCCCGUAGCUCAGCCGGAUAGAGCAACAGAUUCCUAAUCUGUAGGUCGGAGGUUCGAAUCCUCUCGGGGACGCCA